UUUUUGUUUUGUUUUUGUUGUU
rnacentral:sRNA from 1 species